rnacentral:rRNA from 2 species
GGCAGACGGGUGAGUAAUGUAUAGGAAUCUACCUAGUAGUACGGAAUAAUUGUUGGAAACGGCAACUAAUACCGUAUACGCCCUACGGGGGAAAAAUUUAUUGCUAUUAGAUGAGCCUAUAUUAGAUUAGUUAGUUGGUGAGGUAAAGGCUUACCAAGACAAUGAUCUAUAGCUGAUCUGAGAGGAUGAUCAGCCACACUGGAACUGAGAUACGGUCCAGACUCCUACGGGAGGCAGCAGUGGGGAAUAUUGGACAAUGGGCGAAAGCCUGAUCCAGCCAUGCCGCAUGAGUGAAGAAGGCCUUCGGGUUGUAAAGCUCUUUUAGUGAGGAAGAUAAUGACGGUACUCACAGAAGAAGUCCUGGCUAACUCCGUGCCAGCAGCCGCGGUAAUACNGAGAGGGCUAGCGUUAUUCGGAAUCAUUGGGCGUAAAGGGCGCGUAGGC